rnacentral:sRNA from 1 species
GCAAGUUUUCUCAUGAUGAGCAAGAGCAGGUUGUGUUCAAGGGGUUGAGGAUUUUGAAUGUCUUGCAACGGAUACUUAGGUCUAUGGUUAGGAGCUUUACGGUAAAGGGUUUUGGCGUUGAUAUCAAAUGUCUUGUAUAGGAAGCAUGAUAGUUCUCCCGAUCUCAAAGUUAAGAAGGAUGCAUUUGAUUUGGCCAUUAGUUGUUACUUAUCAUAUUGCCAAUCAGAUUUGGAUUGCUUUGGUUUUGGAAGCAUGAAAAUUGACACUGUAAAAUUCUCUCAACAGAAAUAUCAUAUGAUAAUUGACAAACAUUCCUUGGUUCUAGCCUAAAAUAUGUACAAACCCAUGACGAAAAAAUAUGACAGAAGCAUAACAGAACCAGUGUUUAUACAAUUUAGCAAAAUUCAAAUGAUUUAUUUUUAGAAAAAAAAGUGAUGCAUUCCUAAAAGGCUUCCUGAUAGAUCUCUUUCUACAUCUUUAAUUGUUUGUAGAAGUUUCCAAUGAAGGCCUCAGCUUUGGUAAAUAACUCUUGCUCAUUAUCUGUUUUAAUCUCCUCAUCUAUUUGUUCAUUUCACCGAGAGAUGAAAGUAAAGGGUUGAAUUUUUAUGCUUGAUUAUUGCUUUAUAUGUUUGGUUUCAUAUAUAACUUGUACUGAUACCAUACUAGUGAGCUAAAAAGGAAGUCUGGG